CCCUUCCGCUUUCUCUUCCCUUCCGCUUCCAGUCCCUCUCUCUCUCUCUCCUCGCCCAAGAGGCCAAAAACCCAGCCUCGAGUCCUCGCUCCCCGCAGAUUUGCGCGUCAUCAGCGCCGCGGCGAUGGCGGGCGGCUUCUCCAUCAGGGGGUACGCGGAGAGCUUGCGGCGCACGGGGGCGGCGGAGCUCGGCCCGUUUGGUUCGGCCGUCAAGGAGCUGCAGCCCCUGGAGGUGCGCGCCUUCCGGUGGUGGGAGGACGAGCUCGCGUCCAUCAAGGCGGCGGAGGCGGAGAAGAAAGCGGUGGCGGGGGUGGAUGAGGAGGAGGAAGAGGAAGAGGCGUCGGGGAACGGCCGGGCGCCGAAGAAGCGCUCCAUCACCGACCUCUUCGCGGAGGCGCCUGCCGUGGUCGCCGGCAGCGGACCCGACGCUGUCGUGGACGAGGAGGAGGUUCUUCGCUCCAUCGUCCGCCGGAGCAAGGAGCUGCGUAGGAAGCGGCGUCUGGAGCAAGCUGCCUCGGCGGCGGACGAGCCGGAGACGUCGGCGGCAGGCGAACGGCGUGCGGCCGAGGGGAAUUUCCCCAGAAAGAAAUCAGUUGACAAACCAAUUUUGGGAGAUGAGUUGGAUACUUCUGGUCCAUCAAAGGAACAUGAGAAUGACGAUCUCAGUACAGAGAAGGAAAUGAUCCCAGAUCUUAAGAGAAGGAAGCACGGAAGACUCAGUAAUAGCUUGCAGAAGAAGAAGGCUGAGAGGCUAAAGUACCUUGAGAGUAGAAAGGCUGCCAAGGUUGGAAAACAGAGAGAUAUUAAAAAAGUGCUCCCUUUGCACAGCAUUCUGAAGAAGUACACGAAGCAUACAUCUGUUAAAAUGGUAAAGGAAAAACAUGGGAGUUCAAAAGGCCCUGGAGUCAUACAACUAUGCCGCAAAUCAGUCAAGCGUGUUAAAUUCUCAGAAAUGGAUGAUGCCAAGAAGCAAUGUUCCAAAAGACCACCACUGGAAAGCAUCUGCGAGCUUCUCUCUGCUAUUAGUUCUUCUUCUUCUUCAUCUCUAGAGAUGUCAAGUGAAGAGGAACAUGUCAUAGCAGAAAGUAGUAGUUCUCGUAUGCCAAGUAAAGCCUUCAGUAUGGCUAAGGAAGCCAAUGAGAAUACAAGUCAUGAUAACCAAUAUGAGCUUAGCAGUACUGGACUGCCCACUUGUUUGCUUGAUUUGAAUCAAGCUCUUCCAGAACCUACGGACUUAAACAAUCCGUAUGUUCCGAGUUCAGACGUUUCAUAUCUUGAGCACACAGAGGUAGGAACUUGGCAUGUGGGUCAACAACUUACUGAUAAUGGAAGGACAAAUGAUAAACAAUUGUCUUUCGAUCUGCAUGGACAGGAACAAGAACGACAAGCUACUGAGUUGGACACCAGAUCAAAAGGCAAGUCCCCUUGUACUCUGCCAAACCAUUUCCAGGAUUCAGUUCAUCUGCAACAAAAUUGGUGCUCCAUGACUUUGCAUCGUGGUGUCUCUCAGCUCUCAACUGGAGGUGAACCUUCUUCCUUUGAAUUUCGAGGAUCUAAUAUAUCACACAGUGAGAAACGAAAUUUUCAUUCAGAAAUGAACGUGCAACAAGAGUCCAGUCCUUCUGCUGGUCAAACCUUGCGCUUGAUGGGUCAUGAUCUUACAGUAUCCAAUACUAGAGUUGACUAUUUAUCUGACCCAGCACAGAAUCAUAUAAAUCCUACUGCAGACCAUCUUACCAGAAAGGUGGUGUUGGAAUUGCCACGACAAGGUCAGCCUUUCCUAUCAUUACAAACUCAGAGUAUUCCCAGUGUUUCAGCAAGUUGUGCAAAUGCUGUAGCUCAUGUUUCGGCAAGUUCUGCAAAUGCUGUAGCUCAUGUUUCAGCAAGUUCUGCAAGCACAGCCCAGGCACAUUUUGGAUACAGAACACCACAUAAUGUCAGCCACCCUUUUCUCACUGCCAAUGUGCUCUCUGGUGAUCCAUCAGUAUAUGAAGACAGAUCCAGGGACUUUACAAACUUGCAAUUGCAUCGAAAUUCUCUAUUGGGAUAUCCACCUCUUUCCAAUCAUGGCAGUGCUGCAUUUCUUCAGAAUUCACCACCUUGGCGUUAUUACUCUGAUCAUUCCACUCGGACAGAUUCAACCUCAGCGACAUUUACGCCAACAAUGAUGCAGCAUGUGGCAACAUCUUCAGAUUACCGUGCCAAUCUGCCUCAUCUGUCAUAUGGUGUGUACUCUGCAGGCUCAACAGUUCAACCUCGUAGCUCUGCAAGUUUUACAUGCCCAAACCAGAUAGUACAAGGAGUUGACACUAGGGCUUCUGCAAACCUUCCAUCCAGAAGUCGAGGAACUGGACCGACAAGAGCUGCUCCUGACAACUCUAAUACUUCAUCUAGCAGCCGUUUUGUUCUGAGAUCAGGCCCUGUAAAGCUCAGUGCCGGGGCAAAGCAUAUCCUGAUACCAAAUGAGAACACAGAGGACGACAAUUCUGCACCAAUGUACUCUUGUGUGUCCUUUGGCAACAGCAGUGCAAAUGUUUCGGCAGCUCAUCAGAAUAAAGGAACAGGUCCCCGUAGGUUGUAGUCCAAAAGCUGGAUUAUCUUGCCUGUCCGUUUUCUGGACAGCUGCUGAGCAAGAGGCUACAUAUUUUGAAGGAAUUGAAGCUGAUGGCCUUCGCAAUUGAUGACGAAUAGACGAUGGUGAUGUGAAGAUGCAAUGCGCAGUUUGGAGGAUACCUGAGCCCGUCUUAAAGGAGGGUACUUGGUUUUGUUUUGUGGCCUGGGAGACUUUGACAGAUCGUUUUUAGUCCUGCAGUUCAAAAUAAGUUUUUUUUUUAAAAAAAAACGACUAGUGCGCUCAGGUUGUGCAGCAUGUGAACUUGUAGGGCACACCUGGAGUGUCUAUCUAGCUACCGGUAACGAAGUAGAAUGUUAAUGCGACUCCAAAGCUGGUUGGCUGUACAGCUUGUGCAAAUGAGUUUCUCGUUCCAUUUGAGCCGGCUAGAGCAUGUUGAGCAGUCUUCCAAUAAUCUAUUCCCAGAUCUAUUUUUUUGUGUA